UUGAACGCUGGCGGCAUGCCUAACACAUGCAAGUCGAACGCGAAAGGGGGGCAACCCCCGAGUAGAGUGGCGGACGGGUGAGUAAUACGUAGGAAUCUGCCCAAUAGUGGGGGACAACUUAGGGAAACUUAAGCUAAUACCGCAUACGCACUACGGUGGAAAGCAGGGGAUCGCAAGACCUUGCGCUAAUGGAGGAGCCUACGUCUGAUUAGCUAGUUGGUAGGGUAACGGCCUACCAAGGCGACGAUCAGUAGCUG
rnacentral:rRNA from 1 species